rnacentral:misc_RNA from 1 species
UAACAGGAUCAAAGUUGGAGACACCAAUUAUAGCACCAAUAAUAGCACCAAGCACAACUCCACCAGACACAAUGCUGAGUAAGAAGUUCUUAAGUGAUGGUGACAAACCCUCAGCAGCUUGUGCUACAUCAGGUACAACCAUUGAUGCUGUGAGUACACCUGUUGUCAACCCUACAAUUGCCUUUUCCUUAAUUGAAGAUGCCUUGAUGACUACAAACUUUUUUGAAUUUGCAAUUUGUUUUGAAGGCCUAAUUGGCAAUGGCUUGAAAAAACCUUCAACAAUUGUUGGUUGUUUCUUUUGGCUUUUGCAAGUUAGUGGCAUUGCCAUUGAAACUAUUGAAGAAGUGGUCAUUUCUUUUGCCUUUUUGCUAUCAAGAAUUAUAAAAAACAAAGGUUGAAG